rnacentral:rRNA from 1 species
UACGUAGGGCGCAAGCGUUGUCCGGAAUUAUUGGGCGUAAAGAGCUCGUAGGUGGUUUGUUACGUCUGCUGUGAAAACCUAGGGCUUAACCCUGGGCUUGCAGUGGAUACGGGCAGACUAGAGGCAGGUAGGGGAGAAUGGAAUUCCCGGUGUAGCGGUGAAAUGCGCAGAUAUCAGGAGGAACACCGGUGGCGAAGGCGGUUCUCUGGGCAUGUCCUGACGCUGAGGAGCGAAAGUGUGGGGAGCGAACAGG